AACAACAACAACAACAAACAAAAACAACAACAACAAAAAAAACAGAGAGCCCAAAGAGAAGAAAUAAAGAUGCUGUCAGAGAUGGAACAUAGUGGCAGUAAAAGAAAGGACAACCAGUAGACAGGAAAGAAAAAAAACUCCAAGACCCGGAGUUUCUGUCCAUGUCCAAUGCAUUCAAGAUUCUUCUGCAAAUCUGAACAGUCAUCCUAGAAAGAAAAGUUCAGAGAAUGAGAACCCCUGGACUGUCUCAAAAAAAAGAAAAAAGAAAAAAACAGAAACGCGACAUGCUCUAAAAAGGAAUAUUUAACCUGGAUUAAUUCAUAAAAUAAUAGGAGAAAAUUUUUGCAGCCAGAAUACUAUGAAUUUGAGUUGGUUGAAGAACAACCUCAUCUUUUAAAGCAGAGAAGUUUUCUCAGAUAUGUUUUCCAGAAUGCCAAAUCGUAAGUAAAUUGAUGAGAAAACUGUGGCUCAAAAGUUAUGUUACUUGUUAGACAUCACCAGACAUUUAAGUGGUUUUUGGGGAACAGGUGGUAUCUGGUCACAUGA
rnacentral:lncRNA from 1 species